rnacentral:rRNA from 1 species
AUUGAACGCUGGCGGCAUGCCUUACACAUGCAAGUCGAACGGUAACAGGUCUUCGGAUGCUGACGAGUGGCGAACGGGUGGGUAAUACAUCGGAACGUGCCCGAUCGUGGGGGAUAACGAAGCGAAAGCUUUGCUAAUACCGCAUACGAUCUAAGGAUGAAAGCAGGGGACCGCAAGGCCUUGCGCGAACGGAGCGGCCGAUGGCAGAUUAGGUAGUUGGUGGGAUAAAAGCUUACCAAGCCGACGAUCUGUAGCUGGUCUGAGAGGACGACCAGCCACACUGGGACUGAGACACGGCCCAGACUCCUACGGGAGGCAGCAGUGGGGAAUUUUGGACAAUGGGCGAAAGCCUGAUUCAGCCAUGCCGCGUGCAGGAUGAAGGCCUUCGGGUUGUAAACUGCUUUUGUACGGAACGAAAAGACUCUGGUUAAUACCUGGGGUCCAUGACGGUACCGUAAGAAUAAGCACCGGCUAACUACGUGCCAGCCGCCGCGGUAA